UGCUGAUGUAAGCCCAAUGAUUGGCAUUCAGGCUCCACGUUUGCCUUCUUGUGUGUGUUUUGGUUCGGAUGCUGAUGUAAGCCCAGUGAUUGGCAUUCAGGCUCCACGUUUGCCUUUGCCUGUGUUUGUUUGUGUGCGUGUUAGCCGAGCUACGGAUGCUCUGAUUCUCCUUCGUCCAGGAGAUACGUAUGCAUAGGAUGCGAUAUCCUAGCGAGCAUGUGUCGUUUCCCCAGUCCGAACUACUUAGACUCUGAUGUCUAUGUUUGAUAGACUAAGUAGGCCCAGGAUGCGAUAUCCUGCCGAGUCAGUCUUGUUU
rnacentral:lncRNA from 1 species